rnacentral:rRNA from 1 species
AACGAACGCUGGCGGCAUGCCUAACACAUGCAAGUCGAACGAGUGCCUUGGGUUUAUUGGCGCACGCGUGUGCCAAGCGCGGGGGAAUCUCCUCAUGGUUUCAGUAACUCAGCUGGAGGGGUCUUCUUAUAGCAUAAGAUCUCCCGACAAAAGAUAUAUCUCCCCUGGAUGUGCCCGCGUGGUAUUAGCUAGUUGGUAGGGUAAAAGCAUACCAAGGGGACGAUCCCUAGCUGGUCUGAGAGGAUGUUCAGCCACACUGGGACUGUGACACGGCCCAGACUCCUACGGGAGGCAGCAGUGGGGAAUAUUGGACAAUGGGCGAAAGCAUGAUCCAGCAAUGCCGCGUGAGUGAUGAAGGCCUUAGGGUUGUAAAGCUCUGUUACCCGGGAAGAUAAUGACGGUACCGGGAGAAUAAGCCCCGGCUAACUCCGUG